rnacentral:rRNA from 1 species
UACAUGGGUGCAAACGUUGCUCGGAAUUAUUGGGCGUAAAGCGCACGUAGGCGGUUUGUUAAGUCGGAUGUGAAAUCCCGUCGGCUCAACUGAGGAAGUGCAUCCGAAACUGGCAGGCUUGAGUACUAAAGAGGGUCGCGGAAUUCCCGGUGUAGAGGUGAAAUUCGAUGAGAUAUCGGGAGGAAGCACCGGUGGCGAAGGCGGCGACCUGGGUAGAUACUGACGCUGAGGUGCGAAAGCGUGGGAGCAAACAGG